UAGCCAGAUGAUUGCGCCUGAAAAGGUGAGGAAAGUCCGAGCACCAAAGAGCAAACGUAAUUGAUAACGUCAAUCCAGGGUGACCUGCGGAAAAGGGCAACAGAGAUAAACCGCCAACUGGUUGUGUGUAUAAAUCACAGCAAAGGGCAAGGGUGGAAAGGCGUGGUAAGAGCACACCCCACAUUGUGGUGACACAGUGCGGCUGUAAACUCUACGUGGUGCAAGAUGUGGGGCAAUAGAGCUGCUCGCUCGCUCCCAAAAUCGCAUGAGCGGUUUGGCAACAAAUCGUCGAGAUAGAUGAUCAUCUAAAACAGAACUCGGCUUAUAGACUAACUUUA
rnacentral:RNase_P_RNA from 1 species